ACGGCGGUCUUUACCGCUCAUUCGGACAGGGGCACGGCUGCCACUGCCCUGGCUGUUUCGGGGGCUCGUUUGGAGGACAUUUUGCGUUUGGCUGACUGGUCUAGGGCCACGACGUUUAGAGAAUUUUAUUUUCGUCCGCCCCCUCAUGUGUUUUCAUCUAUUAUUGAUCAGCUUUGAACUUGCAAUAUGAGCCUCCGUGUCUUGCUUUAAAACUAAAUGAUUUUCCUAUUCCAUGACGUAAAGUCAUAGUUUUAUUAAAGACACGGAGGCAAAUAUUGCCCGCCCUGGGUUUUUCCUGCCCGCCCUUUUACUAUAUUUUUCUAUGGUUUA